CCCCUCCCAGGGUCACACUGGAGAGUUCCCAGGACUCUACCAGUCUCGACUACAGGAGGAAGAGUGAAGCAGAGGCCUACCCAUUCCAUUCCUAGCUUGGCCAGUGGCUAGCAAGUGGAAGGCAAUGUGCUACAAGU